GACGAACCGAGCGAACGUUGUUCGGAAUCACUGGGCUUAAAGGGUGCGUAGGCGGGCUGCCAAGUUUGAGGUGAAAUCCUCCGGCUCAACCGGGGAAGUGCCUUGAAUACUGGCGGUCUGGGGGGAGGUAGGGGCGUGCGGAACUAACGGUGGAGCGGUGAAAUGCGUUGAUAUCGUUAGGAACUCCGGUGGCGAAGGCGGCACGCUAGACCUCUUCUGACGCUGAGGCACGAAAGCCAGGGGAGCGAACGGG
rnacentral:rRNA from 1 species